CCUACGGGAGGCAGCAGUGGGGGAUAUUGGACAAUGGAGGAAAGUCUGAUGCAGCAACGCCGCGUGAGGGAAGAAGGCUUUCGGAUUGUAAACCUCUGUUCUUGGGGAAGAUAAUGAGGGUGUCCAAGGAGAAAGAUCCGGCUAACUACGUGCCAGCAGCCGCGGUAAUACGCAGGGGGCAAGCGUUGUCCGGAUUUACUGGGUGUAAAGGGGGCGUAGGCGGUCUUGCAAGUCAGAUGUGAAAACUACAGGCUCAACCUGUGGACUGCAUUUGAAACUGUGUGCCUUGAGUAAAGUAGAGGUCGUCGGAAUUCCUGGUGUAGCGGUGAAAUGCGUAGAUAGCAGGAAGAACACCAGUGGCGAAGGCGGCCUACUGGACUUCAACUGACGCUGAGGCACGAAAGCGUGGGUAGCAAACAGGAUUAGAUACCCUAGUAGUC
rnacentral:rRNA from 1 species